GACGAACGCUGGCGGCGCGCCUAACACAUGCAAGUCGAGCGGAGUAAAGAUUUCGGUUUUUACUUAGCGGCGGACGGGUGAGUAACGCGUGAGUAACCUGCCCUUCAGCGGGGGAUAGCGUCUGGAAACGGACGAUAAUACCGCAUAACGUAUGUUGAAGACAUCUUCGACAUACCAAAGGAUUUAUCCACUGAAGGAUGGACUCGCGUCCGAUUAGGUAGUUGGUGAGGUAAUGGCCCACCAAGCCCACGAUCGGUAGCCGGACUGAGAGGGUGAUCGGCCACAUU
rnacentral:rRNA from 1 species